UACGUAGGGGGCAAGCGUUGUCCGGAUUUAUUGGGCGUAAAGAGCGUGUAGGCGGCUUUACAGGUCCGUUGUGAAAACUCGAGGCUCAACCUCGAGACGCCGGUGGAAACCGUAAAGCUAGAGUCCGGAAGAGGAGAGUGGAAUUCCUGGUGUAGCGGUGAAAUGCGCAGAUAUCAGGAGGAACACCAAUAGCGAAGGCAGCUCGCUGGGACGUUACUGACACUGAGGCGCGAAAGCGUGGGGAGCGAACAGG
rnacentral:rRNA from 1 species